UACGUAGGGCGCAAGCGUUAUCCGGAAUUAUUGGGCGUAAAGAGCUCGUAGGUGGUUUGUCGCGUUGUUCGUGAAAACUCACAGCUCAACUGUGGGCGUGCGGGCGAUACGGGCAGACUAGAGUACUGCAGGGGAGACUGGAAUUCCUGGUGUAGCGGUGGAAUGCGCAGAUAUCAGGAGGAACACCGGUGGCGAAGGCGGGUCUCUGGGCAGUAACUGACGCUGAGGAGCGAAAGCGUGGGGAGCGAACAGG
rnacentral:rRNA from 1 species